rnacentral:lncRNA from 12 species
CGUGGUCCCACCUUUCAGGACCUGGGCCUGGCCUCCUCCCGCUCCAGGAGGCCUCCCCUACCUGGAUGCCACCUGGCUUAGCCUGUCUUCAGAGGCUCCCCUUCAAAGCUGCUGAGGAAAUGCAGGGCAAGCCUGGCCACGUCAAUACCUUCCUCAAGAGCCGCGGAUCCCGGUGCUCCUACUUCCUCAGACCUCAGCAAACAUCACCGAGUCGCUGCCGGGGGCCAAGGAGGCUCCAGGAGCCUACAGCGAGAGCCGUGCGCUGCGUGUGCCUCGCCCUCCAGGGAGCGUGCCCUGCCCGGUGCUCCCCGCGCAUGCCCUCGGAUGGCUGUGCACAGUCCUAUAGAACAUAUCGCCUCUGCAUCCUGACUUGUAAAUGCUGUUAACAGCUCACACUCACAUGAGUCUCUAUUCCCUGGGCAUCGUAUCAUUAUCGUUAAGGCAAACCUCUCAGAUUUGUUUUUUUUUGUACUUUCAAAGGUUCCUUGUUGACAUGAAUGAAUUAAUGCAGAAGAAUACGUUCUUCAAGCUCUUGCGUGUUCUUCUCCAGCCUGGGAUCAGAGAAGCAAGACUAGAUAGAGCUAAGGGAGGGUAGACACCGCCUGGCCCUACACACUCAUUUCACAAG